rnacentral:rRNA from 1 species
AACGAACGAGACCUUAACCUGCUAAAUAGCCNGGCUCGCUUUUGCGGGUCGCCGGCUUCUUAGAGGGACUAUCGGCUCAAGCCGAUGGAAGUUUGAGGCAAUAACAGGUCUGUGAUGCCCUUAGAUGUUCUGGGCCGCACGCGCGCUACACUGACAGAGCCAACGAGUUCUAACCUUGUCCGAGAGGUCUGGGUAAUCUUGUUAAACUCUGUCGUGCUGGGGAUAGAGCAUUGCAAUUAUUGCUCUUCAACGAGGAAUAUCUAGUAAGCGCAAGUCAUCAGCUUGCGUUGAUUACGUCCCUGCCCUUUGUACACACCGCCCGUCGCUACUACCGAUUGAAUGGCUCAGUGAGGCCUUCGGAUUGGCUCAGGGAGGUCGGCAACGACCACCCAGAGCCGAAAAGUUGGUCAAACUUGGUCAUUUAGAGGAAGUAAAAGUCGUAACAAGGUUUAGAAUAAGAUCUAACAGUGGUCCUUCCGUGACGCUUAUGAGAAGCCUUUGUGGCCCUGCAAAGGGUAUUGGCAACGACUAUWAAGAAGAACGCUGGUAUUAAAUCGCAAGUCAGCGUAACAGCUGGCAACACUUUCGAAUUGCGGGAACACCCUAAAGCCCUCUCUACCAACCCAGCCAGGAAACUGGCUGGGGGGCUAAUGCUAACAACAUUGGAUGGUAAAAACGAGUUGGGAUAGGUACAAUGGGUAAUCCGCAGCCCAGUCCCUAAGGCCAACUGGCUAUGGGAAAGGUUCACAGACUAAGUGGAAGUGGGUUGGGGCACAAUUGCUCCAGCUUAAGAUAUAGUCGGGCUCUUGAAGAAAUUCCUGAGAAGUCACGUGGAUUGAGAAACUCGAGCAUUUUCAGCUAUUCUCAAUCCUCUACUUAAAAACUGUUCCGUAGGUGAACCUGCGGAAGGAUCAUUAAAAAUGCCAUCUGGCAAAUGCAUUCCUCCUCUGGAGGUCUGUUUCAACCCUUUGUGAAAACCAAAACCUUUUUCGCUUCGGCAGCUGGCUGAGCUCUGCUCGGCCGUCAGCCUGCCGAUGGCAUCAAUUUAAACCAAACUUGUAUCUUGAAACGUAAAAGUCUGAACCAUUCUAUUGAAUGAAAAUUAAAACUUUCAACAACGGAUCUCUUGGUUCUCGCAUCGAUGAAGAACGCAGCGAAACGCGAUAGUUAAUGUGAAUUGCAGAAUUCAGUGAAUCAUCGAGUCUUUGAACGCACAUUGCGCCCAUUGGUAUUCCGAUGGGCACGUCUGUUUGAGCGUCAUUGCAACACCUCAGCCUUUCCGGUUGGUUUUGGGCCUGGCAUCCGUCAAGGAAUCCGGCUUCAAAGUUGCACGCUCUGCGGGCCUGACCGCUCAGAAAACAUAGUAUGACUGCUAAUUGUUGGAAGAGUUUCUGGUUGGGGCUUCCGCCUGAACAAACUAUCUUUACCAAUGUUUGACCUCAGAUCAGACGAGGAUACCCGCUGAACUUAAGCAUAUCAAUAAGCGGAGGAAAAGAAACCAACAGGGAUUGCCUCAGUAACGGCGAGUGAAGCGGCAAGAGCUCAAAUUUGAAAUCUGGUGCCUUCGGCGCUCGAGUUGUAAUUUGAAGAGGAUGCCUCGGUUGCAGCCACGGCCUAAGUUCCUUGGAACAGGACGUCGCAGAGGGUGAGAAUCCCGUACGCGGUUGGCGGCUCGCUUCCAUGUGUGGCUCCUUCGAAGAGUCGAGUUGUUUGGGAAUGCAGCUCAAAAUGGGUGGUAAAUUUCAUCUAAAGCUAAAUACUGGCGAGAGACCGAUAGCGCACAAGUAGAGUGAUCGAAAGAUGAAAAGCACUUUGAAAAGGGAGUUAAACAGUCCGUGAAAUUGUUGAAAGGGAAGCGCUUGCAAUCAGACUUGCUAGCGGUUGAUCAACGUUCCUUCUGGUUCGUGCACUCUUCCGUCUGCAGGCCAGCAUCGGUUAGAGCGGUGGGACAAAGACUGCGGGAAUGUGGCUCCUCGGAG